UACGAAGGGGGCUAGCGUUGCUCGGAAUCACUGGGCGUAAAGCGCACGUAGGCGGACUCUUAAGUCGGUGGUGAAAUCCUGGAGCUCAACUCCAGAACUGCCUUCGAUACUGGAGAGCUUGAGUCCGGGAGAGGUGAGUGGAACUGCGAGUGUAGAGGUGAAAUUCGUAGAUAUUCGCAAGAACACCAGUGGCGAAGGCGGCUCACUGGCCCGGUACUGACGCUGAGGCGCGAAAGCUAGGGUAGCAAACGGG
rnacentral:rRNA from 1 species